GGAGUCUGGGCCGUAUCUCAGUCCCAAUGUGCCCGAUCACCCUCUUAGGCCGGGUAACUAUCGUCGCCUUGGUGGGCCGUUACCUCACCAACUAGCUAAUAGUACGCGGGCCGCUCUCUGUGCGAAUCAAAAGAUCCUUUCCUGUAUGUCCUCUGACAACAUACAGCGUAUCCGGUAUUAUCUCCUAUUUCUAGGAGCUGUCCCCGUCACAAAGGUACGUCACCCACGCGUUACUCACCAGUCCGCCGCUCUAGGUCAGGAGCAAGCUCCCGACUUACCGCUCGACUUGCAUGCUUAAGACGCGCCGCCAGCGUUCGUU
rnacentral:rRNA from 1 species